rnacentral:rRNA from 1 species
GACGAACGCUGGCGGCGUGCUUAACACAUGCAAGUCGAACGGAAAGGCCCUGCUUGCAGGGUGCUCGAGUGGCGAACGGGUGAGUAACACGUGGGUGAUCUGCCCCUUACUUUGGGAUAAGCCUGGGAAACUGGGUCUGAUACUGGAUAGGACCAUGCUGUAGGUGGUGUGGUGGAAAGAUUAGUUUCGGUAAGGGAUGAGCUCGCGGCCUAUCAGCUUGUUGGUGGGGUAAUGGCCUACCAAGGCGUCGACGGGUAGCCGGCCUGAGAGGGUGGACGGCCACAUUGGGACUGAGAUACGGCCCAGACUCCUACGGGAGGCAGCAGUGGGGAAUACUGCACAAUGGGCGCAAGCCUGAUGCAGCGACGCCGCGUGGGGGAUGACGGCCUUCGGGUUGUAAACUCCUUUCAGCCAUGACGAAGCCUUCGGGUGACGGUAGUGGUAGAAGAAGCACCGGCUAACUACGUG